UUAGGAAUCUUCCGCAAUGGGCGCAAGCCUGACGGAGCGACGCCGCUUGGAGGAGGAAGCCCUUCGGGGUGUAAACUCCUGAACCCGGGACGAAAUCCCCGAUGAGGGGGCUGACGGUACCGGGGUAAUAGCGCCGGCCAACUCCGUGCCAGCAGCCGCGGGAAUACGGAGGGCGCGAGCGUUACCCGGAUUUACUGGGCGUAAAGGGCGUGUAGGCGGGUUGGGGCGUCCCAUGUGAAAGACCACGGC
rnacentral:rRNA from 1 species